UGUUCAUCUUCUGUCUCAUGCUUUAG
rnacentral:piRNA from 1 species